AGAGUUUGAUCCUGGCUCAGAACGAACGCUGGCGGCAUGCUUAACACAUGCAAGUCGAACGCUUGUAGCAAUACAGGAGUGGCAGACGGGUGAGUAACGCGUGGGAACGUACCCUAAGGUUCGGAAUAACGAUUGGAAACGAUCGCUAAUACCGGAUAAGCACGAGAGUGGAAAGGUUUACUGCCUUAGGAGCGGCCCGC
rnacentral:rRNA from 1 species